rnacentral:misc_RNA from 1 species
UAAUUAAAAUUAGGAAAAUUAUUAAUGGAAAUUAUGUGAAUUAAAGACAACGAAAAUUUCCCAUGUAUGACUGAAAAGUAAAUGGAAAUGUCUAUCUGUAUAACGUUUGGAUAGAAUAAUUUCUGCUGCCGAGGCUACGGCAAUAAAGACUGUUAAAGAAGGGGCUGAAGUGAAAGUCCAGAGAGUUAGCACUGUUGCCGAAUGAUGAUCACCUUCAGGUUGCUUCUUUGAUCGGAAAGAGGAGUCACUUUUUUGAUUGAACAUGAUAGUAAGAGUUUCUUCCCACUUGUAUGGUUGGAUGAUGACUGGUGAGGGUGACUGUAAGAGAUAACUGGAUGCAGUGCUCCAAGGAAUUAUUUUCUUAGUGGAUAAUGUUUCUAAGACUACGUUGCAGCUUUUAAAUCCACUCAUAAUAUACGUGUCGUCGUGGAUUUCCCAAUUAGGAUUGUCACAUAGCGAGCUCGUAAUUGAAAUUUGGAAGGGACCAGUGAAUGUUACGAGAGUUUGAAGUUUUAAACAGUUGAAGCUCGACUUUUUAUUCUUAUCACUGUUCAUAUCAUCGUCAAUGGCUGAAGCAACCAAGAGGUAUGCAGUGGUUACAGGAGCAAACAAGGGGAUUGGGUUUGAAAUUUGCAGGCAGUUAGCUUCAAACGGGAUUGUGGUUGUAUUAACAGCCAGAGAUGAGAAGAGAGGCCUUGAAGCUUUUCAAAAACUCAAAGACUCUGGUUUCUCUGAUCUUCUUGUGUUUCAUCAGCUUGAUGUGGCUGACGCUGCCAGUAUUGCUGCUCUUGUUGAUUUUAUUAAAACUAAAUUCGGAAAGCUUGAUAUCAUGGUGAACAAUGCUGGCGUUCUGGGAAUCAAAGUUGAUGGUGAUGCUUUCAUAACCGAGCCUGGUAAGGUGAGUUUCUAUUAAUUAGCAUACUUAAUGAAGCUCAAAAGAGGGGUAAUUUAAUUGAUGGUCAGCGUGGAGAUCAAUGCUAUUACAGUCCCUGACAAGUUUGAUGCCCACAAUUGUGUAAGGCUGAGACGUUUUUGUCCACCUUGCUUUGAACAUUUUCUGUAAAUUUCUAGUGGAUACCAGUUAUCCUUUUCAAUCUGAAGAAAAACCUCAUAGAUACAUCCCACUAGUGUAUACCACUGAAUUGCUGACAAUUUAAGUUUGGUAUGAUUUCUAGAUCAAGAUUUUCUGAAACAGAACUGUAAUUUUAAGUGCUGUUUGGUUUGCUAGACAGGCAGGGGAAACCAUUAACUGAUGCUGCUGUACAUUUGGUUCUAACAAUGCAUGUAACUAGAAUGAUGAUUAAGUUUCUUUCAUUGAUGCAGGAAGGUGCAAGUAUCAAUUGGCAUAAAACUCAUCAAACAUACGAAUUAGCUGAAGAAUGCCUAACAAUAAACUAUUAUGGUGCCAAAAGAAUGGUUGAGGCACUUAUUCCCCUACUCCAGUUGUCUGAUUCACCAAGGAUUGUUAAUGUUUCAUCCUCCGCCGGGACAUUGAAGAAAAUACCGAAUGAAUGGGCUAAAGACAUGUUAGUUGACGUUGACAACCUUUCAGAAGAGAGAAUUGAUGAAGUGUUAAGCAAGUAUCUGAAAGAUUUUAAAGAGGGUUCACCAGAAAGCAAUGGAUGGCCUGCUUUCAUCUCUGCCUAUAGACUCUCAAAAGCAGCUCUGAAUGCCUACACAAGGAUCCUAGCCAAGAAGUUCCCAACUUUUUGUAUCAAUUGUGCCUGCCCUGGCUAUGUCAAAACAGAUAUAACCUUCAAUUCGGGACUUUUAUCUGUGGAAGAAGGGGCUGAUAGUAUUGUGAGAUUAACACUGUUGCCUAAUGAUGGUCCUUCUGGUUGCUUCUUUGAUCAGAAAAAGGAGUCACCUUUUUGAUUGAACAUGAUAGAUCUCCAUAGACAAAAGUAUACAUAGUAAGAGUUUCUGUGUGUUUUGAAUAGUAUAGUUGGAGAAUAAUCUCAGACUCUGUAUCAUAAAGUCUAAAGGAACACCGGUAUCCAGCUCAGAAUGUAUGUGGAAUAGCAUGCCAUGUAUCAUAAGUUUCUUGUCAUGUGUUAUGCAUCUAUUCAGUGUAUACCAAUGAAUGGGCUAGGGGAAUGCUAAGCGAUGCUGAUAGUCUUCAGAGGAUAUAAUAGAUAAGAUUUUGAGUAAAUUCCUGAGAUAUUUCAAGGAGGAUUCUUUAGAAACCGAAGACUGGCCUACAUUUAUGUCAGCCUAUACAAUCUCCAAAGCGGCAAUGAAUGCUCGCACGAGGAUUCUAGCAAAAGAGUACCCCAAUUUCUCCAUCAACUGCAUAUGUCCUGGCUCUUUGAAAACAGAUAUAACUAACUAUAAGGGCAUGUUUUUGAUUGAAGAAGGAGCCGCAUAUCCUGCGAGAUUGGCGCUGCCGCCUCAUGGCAGACCUUCUGGGCAUGAAUUUAAUUAACUGUUAUCAUUUAUUUGUUAAUAUUUUUUAGUGGCUUAUAAUUUCA